ACAGACAUUUCAGCUACUCUCAAGCACUCACUUUUAGCCGUUGCCCAACAUUUGGAAUCCUGAUGAUGCCUUUCUUUGGACGUGUCCCUUAGCACAAUGCCUGUCAUGAAGAGGGAGCUCAGCAAGUAACAACUCCGUCUGGACACCUUUUCCCCCACAGCCAAAGGAAAAGCGAAGUAGAUUUGGGAAGCUACAAUCAAGGUCAUUUGGGAAGUAGGACCCAGUGUAUUAGCAUUACCUAUGGGUGUCCACAUAGAGAUUUAUAGACACAGGAAAGGCUAGAUCAUGAGAAUGCCCCGUAAAGAGGCACCACGUUUCACCAGGGAGAAAUGCAUCCAAGUUACCUCACAAAUGUUAAGAAAUAUGCCUAAUUAAUUGUAUGGUGCAUUUUCCAUGGUAUUUGCUUUAUUAAUUUCAUGUGCAUUUUGAUUAAAAAUUUUACAUUUUA